rnacentral:rRNA from 1 species
AAAUUGAAGAGUUUGAUCAUGGCUCAGAUUGAACGCUGGCGGCAGGCCUAACACAUGCAAGUCGAACGGUAACAGGAAGCAGCUUGCUGCUUCGCUGACGAGUGGCGGACGGGUGAGUAAUGUCUGGGAAACUGCCUGAUGGAGGGGGAUAACUACUGGAAAAA